AUCUGUAUAGUAUAAAAGUAUAUAUGACUUCCAAUCAUAAGGGCUAUUAAUCAUAAUAGUACAGAUA
rnacentral:tRNA from 1 species